UGCGUAGGCGGCUUAUUAAGUCGGAUGUGAAAUCCCCGAGCUUAACUUGGGAAUUGCAUUCGAUACUGGUGAGCUAGAGUAUGGGAGAGGAUGGUAGAAUUCCAGGUGUAGCGGUGAAAUGCGUAGAGAUCUGGAGGAAUACCGAUGGCGAAGGCAGCCAUCUGGCCUAAUACUGACGCUGAGGUACGAAAGCAGUGGGAGCAAACA
rnacentral:rRNA from 1 species